rnacentral:lncRNA from 10 species
CCACGUGUGACUGUUGACACAUUCGUGUAUCAUUACCUCAGCCUCCAAAUCCAUCACCACACUCCCAAGUCACUGGGGUCAUCCGCUUGAGGCCACCCUGGUCGAGAUGGCCCUAGCAAGUCUGCGUCUCACCCCGCGUCCAGUACCACAGGGAGCAGGAAGCCGGGGGGCCCAGGUGAGGAUCUGGAGCUGCUUUUUCUCCCAACUCACAGAGCUCAGCUGCACUAGACCCGGGGAGGGGCCAGCAAGUGGGAGAGAAGACUGAAGUGUCCACACAGAUCCUAUGCAGCCGUGAGAAGGAACGAAACCAGGUCCUUUGCAGCAACACGGGUGCAGCUGGAGGCGGCCGUGAUCCUAUACCGACUCACACAGGAAGAGAAAACCAAAGACCUCAUGGUGUCACUGCAGUGCCAGCUGAACACUGGGCACUCACGGACACAAAGAUGGCACCAGCAGAAACUGGGGACUACUAGACAGGGGAGGGAGGGAAGGAGGCGGCAAGGGCUGAAAUAUGAACUGUUGGGGACUAUGUUCACACCUCGGUGACGGGAUCAGUCAUACCCCAAACCUCAAUCUCACACAAUAUACCCAAGCCUGCACAUGUACCCCUGAUACUUAAGAAAAAAUCCCAAGUGUUCAACUGGACUAUGCUGGACUAAACUUUUAAUAAUGGAAAGUCACUUAAAACCCAUGAGAUCUGUUUUUAAAUGUUAUUAGGAGACACACCUGGUAGAAUGUGGCAAUUGGAAAAAACAUAUACAAUCUUUUAAAAGUAAUUCAAAUCAAUAGUCUUAAAUAGUGGCACAAAAGAAUGAUUGUACCAGUUGUAAACAGCUACUGAAUAUGAGCAUCACUGAAAGUGCCGGAUUUUGUGGUUUUGUUGUUCCAAAAUAUAAUCUAUACAUUUCCUUCAAGA